GAUCCUGGCUCAGGAUGAACGCUGGCGGCAUGCCUAAUACAUGCAAGUCGAACGGACCGAAGGGAAAGCUUGCUUUCUUGAAAGUCAGUGGCGAACGGGUGAGUAACACGUAGGUAACCUGCCCAUGUGCCCGGGACAACGCCUGGAAACGGGUGCUAAAACCGGAUAGGUAGAGAGAUCGCAUGAACUUUCUAUUAAAGGGGCUACGGCCCUGAACAUGGAUGGACCUGCGGUGCAUUAGCUAGUUGGUG
rnacentral:rRNA from 1 species